rnacentral:rRNA from 1 species
CGCCAGACUCCUACGGGAGGCAGCAGUGGGGGAUAUUGCACAAUGGGGGGAACCCUGAUGCAGCGACGCCGCGUGGGUGAAGAAGCGCCUCGGCGCGUAAAGCCCUGUCAGCAGGGAAGAAAAUGACGGUACCUGAAGAAGAAGCCCCGGCUAACUACGUGCCAGCAGCCGCGGUAAUACGUAUGGAGCAAGCGUUAUCCGGAUUUACUGGGUGUAAAGGGAGCGUAGGCGGCCCUGUAAGUCUGAUGUGAAAAUUUGGGGCUCAACCCCAAACGUGCAUUGGAAACUGCAGGGCUUGAGUGCCGGAGAGGCAGGCGGAAUUCCUAGUGUAGCGGUGAAAUGCGUAGAUAUUAGGAGGAACACCAGUGGCGAAGGCGGCCUGCUGGACGGUAACUGACGCUGAGGCUCGAAAGUGUGGAGAGCAAACAGGAUUAGAUACCCCCGUAGAC